AAACGGAAAAAUGUAGCUAAACCAGGGGU
rnacentral:piRNA from 1 species